CCUACGGGAGGCAGCAGUGAGGAAUAUUGGUCAAUGGACGAGAGUCUGAACCAGCCAAGUAGCGUGAAGGAUGACUGCCCUAUGGGUUGUAAACUUCUUUUAUAUGGGAAUAAAAUGUUCCACGUGUGGGAUUUUGUAUGUACCAUAUGAAUAAGGAUCGGCUAACUCCGUGCCAGCCGCCGCGGUAAUACGGAGGAUACGAGCGUUAUCCGGAUUGAUUGGGUUUAAAGGGAACGGAGGUGGAUGGUUGAGUCAGAUGUGAAAGCUUGGGGCUGAACCUGAAAAUUGCAGUUGAAACUGGUCGGCUUGAGUCUAGUAGAGGUGGGUGGAAUUCGUGGUGUAGCGGUGAAAUGCGUAGAGAUCACGAAGAAUUCCGAUUGCGAAGGCAGUUCACUGGACUGCAACUGACACUGAGGCUCGAAAGUGUGGGUAUCAAACAGGAUUAGAUACCCCUGUAGUC
rnacentral:rRNA from 1 species